ACAUGCCCACACCUGUGGCUUCUGAAGCAGAGCACCAGCAGUGACAGUCCCACCAGAACCGCAUGGAAUAGAAAACUGUGCAUUUCCCUAAGGAAAGGGAAUGCCAGAGAAGGGCAGAAGGGAAAUCAGGAAGACAAAACGUGUCUUCAUGUUGGAGUGGACCUUUCCUCUAUCUGUCAACAGAAUGGAUAAAUUGUGGAAGAGUAAUAUCAGAAUACUACACAUCAGUAAAAAACAACAAACUUCUGCUACAAACAAUCAACAUCGAUGAAUCUUUCAGGCAAAAGGUUAUAGAAACAGAUGAUCAGUGGCCCACGGAUUCCAGGUGAGGAUCUGGGACCCAGACAUCCAGAUAUUGAAAACACAGGGAUGGAGUCUGUAUGGAAAAAAUUAAAAUAUAGCAAAAUGUGAAAUACGGAAGAGAAAUCUUUCAAUUUCCCAAUGGAAGUGAGAAAAGAGCAAAGAAAAGUAUUGGUCUUCCAAAACAAAUAGAGGACGGAGCUGCUGCUGUUGCAUGGUGUCUAGAAACUCAGACAACUUCAUCAUUCCAUAUUUGCAUCCAAGAGAGAGAAAGAAAAACUACAAUCAUUUUCCAUUUACCCAUCAACCCAUCAACCUCCAAAUAAAGGCUAUUAAAAAACAAUCAAAGUGUGAAGAGGGCAGAAAAUGUGAUGAAGAGAUUCUUUGGAGAAAGUAGCUGCCACUGUUACCUUGGGAUCUGCCUAUAGUCCUCACAGAGCUUGAGACAGGGUCUCACUAUGUUGCCCCAGUUGGCCUUGAACUGCUGGACUCAAGGGAUCCUCCUGCCUCAGCAUCCUGAGUAGCUGGGUCUACAGGCAUGAACCACCAGGCCCAGAACCCUGUCUUUUGAAAGCCAUAUGCGAUCUGUCUGCCCUGAAGUGACUACUUCAUCUCCAACCAGCCCUUGGCUGGCAAAGUCAGGAAGACUCCAGUCUUUCCUGAAGACCAGGGGAGAGUUUAUAACUCUAGCAUCAAAGUCAGCAGCUGUUCAUCUAGAAGACAACUUCCCAAAAGUCAAUGUCUUUGCCUGAAGCUUUUCUUCCCAGAUCUCCUAUGGUGAAACAACCAAAGGGAAGAAGAAUGUGGGCAGCCCUCAGUAAGACAGGAGAUGAGCAUCAACAUUGACCCAUUCUUUCUUCCAGUCCUCGAUGCUUACCUUGUACAUUCUUCUUUGUCUUCCGACUCAGUGCCUUUAGGGUAUGGACGUUGCCUGGUCCCACACAAGCCAAGCAUCAAAUGGAUGGCUCAACAAGGAGGCCAAGACCAGCUAAUGUUUAGUGAGCACCCAAAGGGGCCACACUGGAGAGAACAGCACAGCUCCGUCUGAGAAACAGCUGUUCCUUCCUGCCUGAGAGGCAGAGUGAUAGAAGAUAUCACAGAAUGUUGCUGCUUUGUCUUCCACCCUGAACCCUCCACGACCUCCCUGUAGCUUCCUGAUUUUAAGUAGACAUCAAAUGAUUCUUAAUCCUUUCUGGGUCUUGGAACGAUUUGAAAAUUGUCAACAGUACUGGGAUUCCCAGAAUAAUGCACAUAUGUACAUACUCAGAUAUUCCCCAAGCCCUGGAUAUAAUUUUAAGGGAGUUCACAGACCACACUCCCCCACCCAUCUGUGGACCCAGAUUCUGUGGGUUCGAGAUUCAGAAGCCCUGUUUCUAGGCAGGCCCUCUGUUGCUAACGCCCCUCGAGAACAUCACCCUAGAUGAUUAUCCCUUCUUCCUCCACUCCUUCCCACCUUCUCCAACUGCUGGGUUUCAGCACAAAGAUUGCUUGCCAGUUAAACUGGCACCAUGGACCGCACAGUAGUUGUUUCUUGGGUCUAGAGGAAACAGCCAGAUUCCUUUAAGUAAAUCAUGUCUUAGUUAUUGAUUGUCUCCACUUGAAGUUUUUGACAAUCUCUGAUUAAAUCAUAAACCACUGCA
rnacentral:lncRNA from 1 species